CCAGACUGCUAUUGGAGUUCGACUAAGCCAUGCAAGUUUCUCGCAAGAGAGCAAAAGGCUGAGUAACACGUAGGCAACCUGCCUUCGAGUGGGAAAUAACCUCGGGAAACUGAGGCUAAUGUCCCAUAGGUUUAGGACACUGGAAUGUUCUUAAACUGAAACUUACGGCUCGAAGAUGGGCCUGCGACCUAUCAGCUUGUAGGUAGUGUAGAGGACUACCUAGGCUAAGACGGGUAGGGGCAGUGAGAGCUGGAGCCCCCAGAUGGGUACUGAGACACGGACCCAAGCCCUACGGGGUGCAGCAGGCGCGAAACCUCCGCAAUGCACGCAAGUGUGACGGGGGGACUCCAAGUGUUUUUGCUUUUUGCAAGAACUUUUAUACAGUGUAAAAAGCUGUAAGAAUAAGGGCUGGGUAAGACGGGUGCCAGCCGCCGCGGUAAUACCCGCAGCCCGAGUGGUCUGGACUUUUAUUGGGUCUAAAGCGUUCGUAGCCGGAUUUGUAGGUUCUCUGUGAAAUCUAACAGCUUAACUGUUAGUCGUGCAGAGGAUACUGCAGAUCUUGAGAUCGGGAUGGGCCAAGGGUACUCCUGGGGUAGGGGUGAAA
rnacentral:rRNA from 1 species